UACCAUCCCAGUUCGGAUUGCAGUCUGCAACUCGACUGCAUGAAGCUGGAAUCGCUAGUAAUCGCGGAUCAGAAUGCCGCGGUGAAUACGUUCCCGGGUCUUGUACACACCGCCCGUCACACCAUGGGAGUCGGAUAUGCCCGAAGUCAGUGACCCAACCGCAAGGAGGGAGCUGCCAAAGGUGGAGCCGAUGACUGGGGUGAAGUCGUAACAAGGUAAC
rnacentral:rRNA from 1 species